rnacentral:pre_miRNA from 1 species
UUUUCAUUUCGCGCACUCUCUCACCGGUCAGAGAGGCGAGAGAGUGUGGGAAAUGAAGAGA